rnacentral:rRNA from 1 species
GACGAACGCUGGCGGCGUGCUUAACACAUGCAAGUCGAACGGAAAGGCCCUGCUUUUGUGGGGUGCUCGAGUGGCGAACGGGUGAGUAACGCGUGAGUAACCUGCCCUUGACUUUGGGAUAACUUCAGGAAACUGGGGCUAAUACCGGAUAGGAGCUCCUGCUGCAUGGUGGGGGUUGGAAAGUUUCGGCGGUUGGGGAUGGACUCGCGGCUUAUCAGCUUGUUGGUGGGGUAGUGGCUUACCAAGGCUUUGACGGGUAGCCGGCCUGAGAGGGUGACCGGCCACAUUGGGACUGGGAUACGGCCCAGACUCCUACGGGAGGCAACAGUGGGGAAUAUUGCACAAUUGGCGGAAGCCUGGUGCAACAACGCCGCGUGCGGGAUGGCGGCCUUCGGGUUGUAAACCGCUUUCGCCUGUGACGAAGCGUGAGUGACGGUAAUGGGUAAAGAAGCACCGGCUAACUACGUG